rnacentral:rRNA from 1 species
UUAGCUAGUUGGCAAGGUAACGGCUUACCAAGGCAAUGAUGCAUAGCCGAGUUGAGAGACUGAUCGGCCACAUUGGGACUGAGACACGGCCCAAACUCCUACGGGAGGCAGCAGUAGGGAAUCUUCCACAAUGGACGCAAGUCUGAUGGAGCAACGCCGCGUGAGUGAAGAAGGUUUUCGGAUCGUAAAGCUCUGUUGUUGGUGAAGAAGGAUAGAGGUAGUAACUGGCCUUUAUUUGACGGUAAUCAACCAGAAAGUCACGGCUAACUACGUGCCAGCAGCCGCGGUAAUACGUAGGUGGCAAGCGUUGUCCGGAUUUAUUGGGCGUAAAGCGAGCGCAGGCGGAAGAAUAAGUCUGAUGUGAAAGCCCUCGGCUUAACCGAGGAACUGCAUCGGAAACUGUUUUUCUUGAGUGCAGAAGAGGAGAGUGGAACUCCAUGUGUAGCGGUGGAAUGCGUAGAUAUAUGGAAGAACACCAGUGGCGAAGGCGACUCUCUGGUCUGCAACUGACGCUGAGGCUCGAAAGCAUGGGUAGCGAACAGGAUUAGAUACCCUGGUAGUCCAUGCCGUAAACGAUGAGUGCUAAGUGUUGGGAGGUUUCCGCCUCUCAGUGCUGCAGCUAACGCAUUAAGCACUCCGCCUGGGGGAGUACGACCGCAAGGUUGAAACUCAAAGGAAUUGACGGGGGCCCGCACAAGCGGGUGGAGCAUGUGGGUUUAAUUUCGAAGCAACGCGAAGAACCUUUACCAGGGUCUUGACAUCUAGUGCCAUCCUAAGAGAUUAGAGUUCCCUUUCGGGGACGCUAAGAACAGGUGGUGCAUGCUGUCGUCAGCUCGUGUCGUGGAGAUG